GAGUAACAGAGCGAGACCCUGUCUCUUAAAAAAAUAAAAUAAAAUAAAAUUUUAAAAGGAAGAUUACAUGGGCCAAGACUGAAGCCUAAGAGGGCAAGUAGGAGGCUACUGCCCAGCAAUACAGCAUUUGGCUCUUCAUACAGAUUUAAUGAGGAAGGAGUCAGAAUGUAAUAGUUUUUAUUAAUGGGAUUAGAUACCAAACAAUCCUUUUAUUUUAUAGUUUCAUUUCCUAGCAUGAAAGAGUUUCAAAAAUUAAUCCUCUAUUCUAUCUCCCAAAGCCAGGGCCCAACAGACACUCCCCUAGGAGACACACCCAGGGGUUCACCGCCCACCCCACCCCCCCGCCCCCGCAGCCCCCGGGCCAGAUCUUUAGGCCUCUCUUACCCCACGCACAACCUUCCUUUCACCCUUUUAGUCCCAUAUCCACCGUCCCCCAAGGAAACCCCACACUGGUAGCAGCUGGCAGGGGCCCGCCUGCCUGAAGGCUGGCCCUCCAGGGAAGAGGGACUCUUGCUCUGGGCCUCAGUGGUUACUCCAGGGCCCAAGAAAUGGGCCUUCGAGCUAAAACCAAGGAAGGUAUGAACCAGCAAAUAAGGGCCCAUUCUCGGAGAUAUAGUGGGGAGCCUUCUGCUCCCCACAAGCAGCAGGGCCCAGAGUGGGGUUUGCAUCAGGCCCUUUCUCUUGGUUGGCAACUUGGGGGAUCUCCUCAGUGUUCAAGACACUCAGUAAACAUAUUCCAGAAGCAAAAGGAAAUAAGUUGAGAGUUGGUUUAUUCACCCAGCACAGGCUCUGACAGUUUUUAAAUGUCUGUUGAACAGAAGAACAUAUAUUGGAUCUAUGUGUGCCUCCACCUACCCUGGAAACUGGGUAAAGCAAUGGGGUACUCUAGGUCGCCAGUUCUCCCUUGUGAUACCCUUGUGACCAGCAGCAUCCGCAUCACCUGGGACCAUGUUAGAAACGCACACUUUUUACCUGCCCCAGACCUACUACUGAACGGGAAAUGGCAAUCUGUGCUUUAAAAAUGUGAUUUUGAUGCAUGCUCAAGUCGGAGAACCACGAGGUGGAAGGCCUCUGGCUAAGGAGACACUGCAGCCCCUGCCCCAAGGCCUCCAGGAGAGCGGCGGGGCCCUCACGCUACAAGCUCCUUCCCCAUCCUCCCAGAACCUUGGCCCCUUCCCUCCCCCUUAACCUCAGUGUCUCCCUGGAACCUUCCAGCCUGCUGGUUCCCAGAUUCACGUGUCUUCACUGACCUGACUGCAGAUCUCCCUUCCCCAUCAGAUCCUCCUCCGACGUCACCCCAGCCCCUCCCCGAAGGGUUGUCCAUGCCAGGCCCCCACAUCUCAGAACUCUGGGAGACCCCCAGUCCCCAGCCCUCUAGGCCCCGUCUUCAGCCCUGGCAACCACCCCCCACCCGUCUCCCUCCUGGCCUGACGAAGGAGACCCAAGCCCCCAACCGGCAGGACCCGCCCCUGGCCCGCCCGGCGGCGGCUCAGGCCUCCUGGCCGUCGGGCCCCGCGAGCAGCAGCGGCUGGGCGUUCUUGCCCUUAUCGUGCCAGCACACGUCGAAGAAGGGGUACACCGGCCCGGGCAGUCGCUCGUGGAAGGCAAAGAGCAGCGCCAGCGCGUCGGCGUCGCUGGCGUCGUAGAAAGAGAGCACGCCGUCGCGGAAGCUCAGGUAGAGGCCGAUGCGGGACGGCCGCUUCUCGGGGGAGCGCAGCGCGCGCGGCUCCUUGGCCUCGACGUGAGCCUCCAGGGUCUUGCCGUCGCGCAGCCCGAGCAGCCAGAGCCCCUGCGAGGGCGCCGCGUGCAGCCGGCCGCGGCGGGGGGCCUCGGCCGAGAUCACGCCGAGUGCCCAGCGUGGCUUGUCGCCCACCUCCACCUCCCAGUAGUGCUCGCCGUCGGAGAGCAGCUGAUGCGCCACCACGGCCACCGCCUUGUCGAACUGGCGCGGGUCCUCUCCGACGGGCGGCGCCUUCUGCUCGGAGCACUCCACGCGGCGGCCCGAGGGAGACAGGACCAGGCUGGGGUGCGCUGAGCUCGGGUCAAAGGUCAGCUCCUCCAGGGCUGCCGGAGGGACAAGGGUGAGGCCCCUGCGUCUCUGCGUCCCUCGCUCGAGCCUUCUCCCAACCAACUUAAGGGCCAGCUUCGUCCCCUCUAUUCGUCCCAGCACCUCUGGGAGGUGAGCCCCUCGGCUCACAGGCGAGCUUCGGCUGCUCAGCCGGAGCGUGAGGCCACGACUGCCUGCCUCCAGACUGCCGCAGGACUCCGCUGAUACAAAGCCUGAGACUCACCAUCUGCGGCCCAGGAAAGGCCCAAGGCUCAAGGGUUUUUGAAACAUCCUUCUGCUGGGAUAAGCUCCGAGCGCCUCGGCCCUCCCAGCCUGCCCCACCUCCCACACCUGCUUCACCUGCUCUUCCCCGUCAGCCUCGGCCGUUCUUCCUGCCCACGGUGCGCUUCUCCCAACUCUACCAGCCGCUCCUCGUCAUUCCUCCAGGCUCCGGCUCAAAUGUGCACUACCCUGGGAACCCUUCCCUGGCCAGCCCGUUCCCGCCACAGCCGCACCAAGCACGCAAUGAUAACUGCGUCCCUGUCUAUGUCUGUCUCACAGCGCCAGUCUAGGAGGUCCCAGGGGCAAGGACCAUGGUACAACACUGUGCCCAAGCAGGGAAAUGGCAGUGGACUGGACUGGGGGUGUGCAGGCACACUGUGAGUAAGGGGAGAGCGAGCUGGUGUCCCUAGAAGACUGGGGCAAGUGGGGCAAAGGGGCAGGGCCAGGUUGAUCUCACCUGCUGGUCACCAGGCAGUAUUUCUAGAGAAAGAAAAAAAGAGAAUGGAGGUGAGGCAGGGAGGGAGACACAGGGGUUUCUGAAGGUGGAGUAGACAACCAGAAAUGCUGAGUGUAGACUCAGGAAGAAUCAGAAAAGCCAAAAACCCAGGAUUUGAGCCCACCCCUAGCCCUUUACCUGUAUGUGGAUUAGAAAAAGGUACUCCCUCCCCAAGAAACUCCAACUCUACCUGCUCAAAGAUUGUCCUAAUAAAUGUACAUACCUACAAUGUCUAUGAUACGAAUGGUGCCCACCUAAUGCAGUGCCCAACCUAAACAACUAUAUAGCAGUCCUGAGGCCCACCUCUCCUGGAUGUGUGACCCCAGGUCCUCCCGGCCCUCUCUGGGCCUCAGGUUCCCUGUCUGACAAAUGAGGUCUCUGGGGCUUGAGCUAUGGCCGAGGGGUGGGAGGGUAGGUCAUUCAGUGCUCACCAUGAGAAACUCAGUCUGUGGCUUGUCAGCCACCUCCUCCAGCACCUUUUCCAUCUGCCGCAGCUGCUCCAGGUAAGAAUUCAGACCCCCCAGCUCCCGCCGCAAGGCGACCCCUGCCUCGUUCCGCACACGCUCUGCCUCGCGGUCCAGAGAGCCCUCCAGCGCAGCCAAGAACACCCGCAUCUUGCCCAGCUGCUCCCCCACAGCUCCCCGGAACUGGCGCACUGUCUCCUGCAGGGAGCAGGGGGAAGAACGGGAACAGCAAUCUCAGCCUCAACAAAUUGGCACCUCCCCCCCACACACACACUCCUCCAGGGGAAAGGAGGGGACGCGCUGGCGGUGUUUGCAGAGUCGUCCCAGCCCAGCAGGAGCCUCAGGGUUGGACCAUGGGCUCGCCUGGCGGGCUGCCAGAUCAGUCUCCUCUCCGGGUCGUCCUCCAGGGCGGGCGACGGCCCGGGCCGGACUGGUGGCUCACAGCGGAGCCCUCGGAGGUUCAGAGGUGCCGGGGCUGAGCCACGGGAAGGAAGCGCGACGCCAUCCUGGAGGCGCUGGAGAAGCUGACGGCGGGUGAGCUCAAGAAGCUCAAGCUAACGCUGGGGUCGGUGCAGCUGCGCCAGGGCUUUCGAACAUCCCGCGGGCCUCACCGACAAGCUUGUCGCCUUCUACUGCGAGGACUACGCCGCCGAGCUCACGGCCUUGCAAGAGGAGGCGGCGCGGCUUCAAAGGGCCGCGUAAGACGGGCGAGGUUGGGAGUUCUGAUGUCAUCAGCGGAGGUGAGCCUGGGCAGGGAGGGCUCCCUGGAGGAGGCGGUUCCUGGCCUGGGCGAGGAGACCACCAGCCAGGAGUGGGCCAGACAGAGCAAGGCAGGAGCGGUAGGGACUGUGAGGCUGGGUCCCUGGGAAGGUCUGAGAGCCUCGAAUACCUGCCAGAGGACAGUGGUCUCCCCCUCUAGGAGACUGGGGGCCAAGAGGAGAAGCGGGGCACCGCUAAUGAAGCCCGCGCUGCAUGCACCUGUCGCAGAAGACAACGGGUGCGUCCCCACCGCGGGAACCGAGGACCCUCCACACCGCCAGAUCUCGUCUCCUCCUGCCCUACUCCUGUAGUUUAUUUUUCCACAGCCCAAUAAAUACUUCAUGACAGACCUUCCUGGGGCUGUGUGGACACAC